CAAUGAUGAAAAGGUUUUAGUACUGAAUUUUGUCACUGUGAA
rnacentral:scaRNA from 1 species